rnacentral:lncRNA from 10 species
CAAACAGGCUUUGUGUGAGCAAUAAAGCUGUUUAUUUCACCUGGGUGCAGGUGGGCUGAGUCCAAAAAGAGAGUCAGCGAAGGGAAAUAGGGGUGGGGCCGUUUUAUAGGAUUUGGGUAGAUAAAGGAAAAUUACAGUCAAAGGGGGGUGUUCUCUGGCCGGCAGAGUGGGGGUCACAAGGUACUCAGUGGGGGAGCUUUUGAGCCGGGAUGAGCCAGGAGAAGGAAUUUCACAAGACAAUGUCAUCAGUUAAGGCAGGAACAGGACAUUUUCACUUCUUUUGUGGUGGAAUGUCAGCAGUUAAGGCAGGAACCAGCCAUCUGGAUGUGUACCUGCAGGUCACAGGGUAUGUGAUGGCUUAGCUUGGGCUCAGAGGCCUGACAUUCCUGUCUUCUUAUAUUAAUAAGAACAAUAAAAUGAAAUAGUGGUAAAGUGUUGGGACAGUGAAAAUUUUUUGGUGGUAUGGAGAGAUAAUGGGUGAUGUUUCUCAGGGCUGCUUCGAGCGGGAUUAGGGGCGGCGUGGGAACCUAGAGUGGGAGAGAUUAAGCUGAAGGAAAAUUUUGUGGCAAGGGGUGAUAUUGUGGGGCUGUUAGAAGAAACAUUUGUUAUUUAGAAUUAUUGGUGUUGGCCUGGAUACAGUUUUGUAUGAAUUGAAAAACUAAACAGAAUAAGAGAAGGAGAAAAACAGGUAUUAAAGGACUCAGAAUUGGGAGGACCUACGACAUCUAAUUAGAGAGUGCCUAAGGUGGUUCAGCAUAGCCUUGCCAGUAAAGAUUAUUUAUUUACUUUAAGAGUUAAGAGUGGCGGUUUGGGGAUAGCACCAGGAGAUAUCAGCUGUGCUGGCUUGGAGAAACAGUGUAAACUGGCAGUGUAAACAAGAGCAGGGCAUGUAUGAGUAGUUGAGAACGGUGAAUAGGAGUAUGACUAGACAGAAGAUAGUAGGGAUGACAAGUUUUUUGGGGCACAGUCCAAGUUGGUCUGGUGUCUGGAAUGAGACUGGGGCCUAAUAAAAAAAGGAGCUCAAAUGGGCUGUACCCUGUAGCAUUCCGAGGACAGGCCUGAGUUCUGAGAAGUGAAAGUGGUAAAAGUAUUGUCCAGUCCUUUUUAAGUUGGUGACUGAGCUUGGUGAGGUGUGUUUUUAAAAGACCUUUAGUCCAUUCUACUUUUCCUGAAGACGGAGGACCAUAAGGGAUAUAAAGGUUUCACUGAAUACUAAGAGCCUGAAAAACUGCUUGGCUGAUUUGACUAAUAAAGGCUCGUCUGUUAUCAGACUGUAUUGAGGUGGGAAGGCUAAACUGAGGAAUUGUGUCUGACAGAAGGGAAGAAAUGACUGCGGUGGCCUUCUCAGACCCUGUAGGAAAGGCCUGUACCUAUCCAGUGAAAGUGUCUACCUAGACUAAGAGGUAUUUUAGUUAUCUGACUCGGGGCAUGUUGAGUAAAGCUAAUUUGCCAGUCCUGGGUAGGGGCAAAUCCUCGAGCUUGAUGUGUAAGGAAGGGAGGGGGCCUGAAUAAUCCCUGAGGAGUAGUAGAAUAGCAGAUGGAACACUGAGAAGUUAUUUCCUUGAGGACAGAUUUCCACGAUGGAAAGAAAAUGAGAGGUUCUAAGAGGGGGGCUAGUGGCUUGUACUAUAGCAUAGCCUGCCUUUGCUGGUGUGUGGCGAUUAGGCCUGGUGGAACUGCCAUCAAUAAAUCAAGCGUGAUCAGGGUGAGGAACAGGAAAGAAGGAAAUAUGGGGAAAUGUGGUGAAUGUCAGGUGGAUCAGAGAGAUACAGUCAUGGAGGUCAGGUGUGGUAUCAGGAAUAAUGUGGGAGGCCAGAUUGAAGUCCGGGCCAGGAACAAUGGUAAUUGUGGGAGUUAACAAAGAGUGAGUAUAGCUGAAGGAGCCAGGAAGCCGAAAGUAUAUGCGUCAGCUAGAUUAUAGAAAGAGCACAUUUCAAACUUCAAAUAACAUGAAUGAAAGCCAGAGAUGACUACUACUCCUUGUGAAGAUUUUUGGAAUACCCUUUUAACUAUCUUCUUACUUCCAUUCCUUGUCCUUCUGCAGUUUAUUCUCCACCCAGCAGCCAAAAAGAUCCUUUUAAUCACGAAUAUGAUUAUGUAAUUUCUCUGCUGAAAGGCUCUGAAUGCUUCCCUGUCUCCCAUGAAGAAAAAACUUAACUAUACUAUUGGUGGAAAUAGUGCAGCCAUUAUGGAAAACAAUAUGGAGGUUCUUCAAUGAAAUAGAACUACCAGGUGAUACAGCAAUUCUACUUCUGGGUAUUUAUCCAAAAGAACUGAAAUUAGGAUCUUGAAAAGAUAUUAGCACUCCCAUGUUCAUUGUGGAACCAUUCACAAUAGCCAUGAUGUGGAAAUGGCUUAAAUGUACAUCAAUAGAUGAAUGGAUUUUUAAAAAUGUGGUAUAGAUGUACAACAAAAUAUUACUCAGACUUCAAAAGGAGGAAAUUCUGUGAUAUGAGCCAACAUGGAUGGACCUUGAAGACAUUAUGCUAGGUGAAAUAAGCCAGUUACAGAAGGCCAAAUACCAUAUGUUUCCAUUUAUGUGAGAUAUUUAAAAUAGUCAAUUGAUAGAAGCAGAGUGGGGGCUGAGGGGAGGGGGGAAACAGGAAAUUGUUAAUAAGUGGGUAUAUAAUUUCAGUUACGCAAGGUAAAUAAGUUCUAAGGAUUUUCUAUAAAAUAUUGUGCUGAUAGUUAACUAUACUGUAUUAUACACUUAAAAAUCUGUUUAAGGAGGUAGACUGCAUGUUAAGCGUUCUUGCCACAAUAAAAUUUUUAAAUUACUUUAUUUAUUUAUAAUAAAAUCUUUGUGAUUGCCUCUAAGGCUAUUGCUACACACAGUCACGCUCUUAUCUCAGGGCCUUGGCAAGCCAUUUUCUCUCUGCCUAGAUGUUCUACCCCAAUAUUCUGGUGGUUUCCUAUUUCCUCACCUUCAGAUUUUGCUCAAAUACUAUUAUCCCAAUGAAGCCUACUUUCAGUAUCCAUUUAUGAUUGUAACUCAGCCUCUUAUAAUCCUUAUGCCCUGGCAUUCCUCAUAUCUCAGCAAAACACAAUUUUUGAUUGUUUUUUUCAUAUAACAUCAUCAUAAUCCAUAUCACCUCUAAUAUACUAUAUAGUUUUAUUUAUUUCAUGUUUUUUACUGUCUACCUUCUUCUGUGGGUCUAGGUCAAAGCAAGAAACUUUAAGGUCAUGAUGGAGUAGGGUAAAUAUUAGAAGUAACAGCUAGUCUUGCUCCAUGACAUAUUUUCUGAACAAGAAUGCAGAAUGGCAUAGAUUUGCUUAACAAAAGUUUAUAAUCACUUCCAAAAUAGUGAACAUUCAUGUUCUUAGAAAAAGGUACCUAUAGCAUCCCUGAUUAUAUGAUUCUUAAAGGCUGGAGCAUGCCUUACCUUUUUCUGUAUUCAGAGUCUAUUUGAACAUACUAGUACUAUUAAAUUAAUAUAUAAAAUGGACAAAUAAAUGUUCGACAGGUCCUUAAAAGCUAGAGAAACACUUAUUAUAUUUCCAUCCUUAAAGUCUAUGCUCUGUGAGAGUACUCAUAAUGUAUACACACACGUUACAUAGUAAUGUAGAUGGAAAAGAUACACACAUACGGAC